GAGCUCGGGGCACCUCCACCAUGGCCUGGACCCCUCUCCUGCUCCCCCUCCUCACUCUCUGCACAGGCUCUGUGACCUCCUCUGCGCUGACUCAGCCGCCUUCAGUGUCUGUGUCCCUGGGAGGGACAGUCAGCAUCACCUGCCAGGGAGAAGACUUAGAAAGCUAUUAUUCUCACUGGUACCAGCAGAAGCCAGCCCAGCGCCCUGCACUGCUCAUCUAUUAUGAUGAUGAACAGGCCUCAGGGGUCCCUGACCGAUUCUCGGGCUCCCGCUCAGGUAGAACGGCCACCCUGACCAUCACUGGGGCCCAGGCUGAGGACGAGGCCGACUAUUACUGUCAGUCAGGGUACAGUGGCACAGUGACAAAGGCAGAUGGGGAAUACCUGUCCUUCCACCAGCUCAGUCAGCUGCCCUCCCUGCUCAAUACCCUGGGACAGAAGGUCACCGCAGGGCAGGGAAGCACCAAGACCCAGCCCUGGAAGCUGACACUGCUGUGCUACUGGGACCAUGAUCUGAGAGGCUUUGCUCCUGUUCCCAGCACAGAGGAGACUCACCUGAAGAAGGCCUAG